rnacentral:rRNA from 1 species
UACGGAGGAUGCGAGCGUUAUCCGGAUUUAUUGGGUUUAAAGGGUGCGUAGGCGGGCUUUUAAGUCAGCGGUAAAAAUUCGGGGCUCAACCCCGUCGAGCCGUUGAAACUGGCAGACUUGAGUUGGCGAGAAGUACGCGGAAUGCGCGGUGUAGCGGUGAAAUGCAUAGAUAUCGCGCAGAACUCCGAUUGCGAAGGCAGCGUACCGGCGCCAGACUGACGCUGAGGCCCGAAAGCGUGGGGAGCAAACAGG